UACGUAGGUGGCAAGCGUUGUCCGGAUUUACUGGGCGUAAAGAGCGCGCAGGCGGUCGAAUAAGUCGAAUGUGAAAGCCCCCGGCUCAACUGGGGGAGGGUCAUUCGAUACUGUUCGACUUGAAGGCAGGAGAGGGAAGCAGAAUUCCCGGUGUAGUGGUGAAAUGCGUAGAGAUGUGGAGGAACACCGAUGGCGAAGGCAGCCUUCUGGGCCAACACUGACGCUGAGACGCGAAAGCGUGGGGAGCAAACAGG
rnacentral:rRNA from 1 species